GUGGCUACAAAGGCUUGUCACAGAUAAACCAGAGUCAUUCUGCACCUGGAUGACUGUUAACAAGAUAGGAAGGAAGCCUCCAUUGUUAGUAGCCCAGCCUCAGUUCAGGUUUCCCCUCCUUCCUCCCUACUGGCUUAUCAUUACACCAAGAAUGAUGCAAAUACAAGAGAAGAAGAAAAACAUAGUUCUGCUUUUUCUUCUGUCUGCAGCCAAAUAAUACAUAAUGUAUACAGUGUUUACAAACAGAAGGUACCAUUCAGGAAAUGCUGAAGUGUUGCCUUCCUUGCUGGAGACACUCAGCAGCUGCUACAAUCUUGUUCCCACAAAGGAAAUGUCAGUCCAGCUGACUGCAUCAAUGAACUGCAGAAUUUUCAGUUUGCAUCAGUCAUCAGAUCUGAGUCCAGUGAAGACAUCAGAAGCUGUGGGGUUUGUGCAUGAGGUAGCAAAAAAUUAUAGAAAUAUACAUAUGCUUUAAUGACUACAAGAUUGUUGUUUUGAAGCUCACCAGUAUUUGUGGCUAAUACGAAUCUUUAAAAAUAACACUUCUGAAUAUUCCUUUCAUUUAAAUAAGCUCUGUAAUUGCCUUUAACCCUUUUGCUAUUUUCAAGUCUCAUACAUCCAUGAAGCAUUGCAAUUUAAUUGAUACAUUUCUUCAAUCAUGAUGCCUUUGUACCUUGGAGAGAGAGAGAGAGAAAAAAAAUUACAAAAAGACUUUAAUGAUGCAGCCCAUGUUUACAAUAAAGUUAUCCAUGAGUCUCUGCUUUCCUGAUACACAGAAUCACAACAUAAGUUAAACUUGUGUCUAUAGCUCUUUUGUUUCUUAAAGAAAAUUUGCUGUUUUAAUCAAUACAGCACCGUCUGACUGAUCAGCAAUAUAUAUUUUCUAGAUUAAAAAUAUAUUAAUGCUUUGCAGACAUAGUUAUGUAAACAUUUAAAUCAAAAUAUUCCUCUCUUUAGGGCCAAUUUUGGAAAUCCAUAUUGAAAAAAAUAGUCUCUUAUUGUCAUAAGAUAUGUAGUUUUGUAUUUUCAAAAGAUGUAUGAGCAUUUCUCUCUUUCAAUUUCUGAAACAUAUCUGCCCCAUCUCUCAAUUCUACUGGCACCAGAAAAUUGAAAUUAAAAGAAGAGAAACACCACAGAUGAUGCAAGAAGAGCAUACUUUUACUUCAGAUGUCACAAAGAAGUUACUUGUAAGGAAAUGUUUAAUUAAACUACUUCAGUGAGUGACUGUCAGCACUCAAACAAGGGAAUCCAACAGAAAAUUGUGUGACAAAACAGAGAAAUCGUCAUCAUACCUUAUGAUGCAAAAAAGUAAACCUACUCCCAAGUUACACUUUGGGAUAAUGAACAUUUGUAUAAAACAGGGAUGAACUGAGUGGCAGUGUAGUUAGUUGGGAAAAGAUCAGAGCUUGACUUGAUGCAAGCUAAGAAAGUCAACAGCAGGACACUUCUCCCUAAAAUGGGGCCAGAUGCUGGAAGAGAGAAUAGUAGUUCUGAAGAGGAUAGUUACCAAUCCCUGCUGCAUGACAAGAGAUAAUCAGCUUAAUUUGAAACAAAGGAAAUGUACAUUAGGUGUUAAAAACAAUUUUUUAAGUAUUAAAGCCUAAAAGUUACUGGAAUAGCUCUUAGGAAAUUCAUUAAUUUUCCCUCACUGAAGACUGAAAGGGAGAAAUCAGACUAAAUACAUAUGUCGUGCUGCUUCAUUGGACAGGGUGGACUAGACAAUGACUCCCAAAUCACUGUAUCUGUGAUGGCAUCUUGACUCCACAUGUACCUGAAUUUUCUUCCCACAGAGGACUCCAGUAUAACCUGGACGACAAGAGCAUACGUUGGGCAACACACACUUGCCUCCGAACAGACACUUCUGGUUGCAUACAGCUAAAACAAGAGAUAUGUGGCUUUAUUCAUGGAAACACUUUGGUGGAGGAAAAGUGGCUACUAUUUCCAUAUACUUAUUCUGUUUGCUUAUAGGAGCCAGGAACUCGUUCAGUAUUUUCGCAAGGAAACACCCCUCAGCAUAGGAGACUUAAAGGUCAUGUGGUACCAACAAAGUUCUUAUGCCCAUCCCAUCCCCCCCAUGCUUUGAUGCAGAUUUAACAUGAGAACAUGCCAAGAGUGUGAAUGAGACUGAGCAAGGAACAUGAGUAAGGUGUUUUUUAAUGCAUCUUACUAUUUCAAGCUAUUGCAAUGGCUUCUCAGGGCUGGUACAGCAGUGUACAGUAUUAGAGCAAGCCAACACAUACUGCCACGGUCCCAGACUGCCAUCAUAUCCUGGAGGGCUUCAGAAUGGGCAGAGGAAUCUCUACUCUUUAUCCUGCCUUUGACACAGAUUAGGGUGAAAUACAACCAAGGUGUAGAACUUCAAGGCUCUGCAUAUGGCUGUACUGUGCAGUCUGAACUGUGCUGAAGCAAGAGGUUUCAGGUCACAUAAUUCUUACGUGUUUGGCAUUGGAUUCCUUCCCACUGCGGAGGACAAUGACAUGUACUCGGUCCAAUACACUCCCCACCAUUCUUACAUUCCUGAAGACAGAUUGCUGCACAAACAUCAUCACAAAGUUUGGUUAAAUUCCAAGUGAUUACUUUGACUUAUGACUCAGAUUUCAGGACGCCCAUGAGAGGUUAAGUGCUUUCCAUACACAAGAGUCACAUCGUCUUCACUGAACUAUCUAUCUAAGAUCAAUAGGAUAUUAAAGAAGAAAGGCAACUGGAAACAAAAAGCCCUACAGCCAAAGCACAGAUUGAGAUGUUCUGUGGCAUCACAGAUUGCUACAAAAGCCUGAAAUAUGCUAAAUAGCUUUGCUUUUUCUAAAUUUACCUUUCUAAACCCCAUACCUUGGUGAGAGAUCUUUUGUCUGUCAUGCAACUGAACACAUGGUGAAUCAACUCAUGAACAUUUGAUCCAAAGUUAUUUUCUGUGACCCAUUUUUCUGCACAUUUGCCCCUGCUUAUUAAUCGAUAAUUAACCUGCUAUUGUUUCCAUUCAUUAGGUGCCUAUUUGAUAAUCAAAUCUCUCUUCCAGAGUUUCCAAGAAUAUCUCAUCCAUGUCCAUACUGGUAAUAUUUUUUUCAACAAAAAAAACCCCCUUUCCAAUAAUUACAGAAAGUAAUACAGGGAAAACUGUUUUUCCUCCGUGCCAUUAGAGAGCUCAUUGCCCGCAUCAGUUCCUGAGCAUCGGGUGAGUACUAUGACAGACACUAACACUUUAGCUAUGGGAUUUCUACCACCCAUCCUCAUGCUGAUUUUCAUGCAGAUUGUGCUUUUAUCCACGCUGACACAUUUUAUACAUUUUCUUUAUGCACCAUCAGUAUCUUCAUUAAGAUAUAAUGUGACCCACAGAUGUUCUACCAUCACAGUCCUAUUUCUGCCUGUCCUAAAGAGCUUGUGCUCGUUGCCAUCUUCUAUUUCAAUCACUUCCCACCGUUUCCACAGUUUUCCCAUCUUUCGCUGAACUUCUUUUUCUAUCUGUUUUUAUAUCCUACAGCACAAAUUGAAUUUCUUUCACUUUAUUGAACUCAGCUCCUUGCAGAAAUAUGGAUAUUUCUUAUUUAGACAAGAAUUAAGAAAGAAACAGAUAAUAUUUGCUAUACAAGAACUUAAAAGAUAUUUUGGUCUCAUGAUUUAUCCUAAGAACUGCAUGGUAUUAGUUCUCCAUCCUAAAUUUCUCUUCCAAGUUACAGACUACUAUUUUUUUCAACGUGUGUAUAUACUUAAGUACUUUGGCACUAACUUCCUAUUACUUGUGUGGACAGAGUAACCUUAAAUCAUAUCUUACUUGUAAGGUAUAGUUCUCCUGUUAACUACAAGGUACUUACGAGUGUCACAUCUUUUUCCUCUCCAUCCUGAAGGACAAGAGCAAAUGUUUGGGCCGACACAUCUUCCUCCAUUCAUACACCUUGGCUCACAGAUACCUUAAAAUCAAACCCAUGUGCUGUUCAAUACAUUUAACUGAUUACAGAAUAAUUUGUUUGUUAUUUUUGGAUCCUGGAAGGAUUUUAACACUGGCUUACUUUUUUCACAUCUUCCACCUGUGUACCCAUCAGGACAAGUACAGACAUUAUUUCUCAUGCAAUGACCACCGUUCUUACAAGGCGGGCUGCAGACAGCUAAAAGACAGAAAGAGGAGGAAAAGGCUGUAGUUAGUAUUUUGUUUGCCUUAGUGAUAUACUUCUGUGAAACAAGAGAGCAAGACUAAGAUUCUGACAGCUUGUAUAGACAUUCAGAACUAUCAGGCCAGUGUUGUAAAAAUCAUAUUAAUGUGGUUUGGUGCCAACAUCAAUAGUAAAGACAAAAUCAGAUAAAAAGGGGUCAAGGAUGGCAACUGUAUGUGUACAUGAGUAAUUAGACUACACAAAAUAUACAAUGGCACUGGUUGAAUGCUGCUCAAAUGUUGAGUGGAAGACAAGACCAAUUUUGAGUCUCCCUUCUCCUUGAACACUCAUUGAAUCAGUCAUAAAAUCUAAAAAAUAACACAAUAUCUGUUUUGCACCACUUAGUUACAUGACUUGAUUGUUAAUUUUGUGUCUUAAUGUUUUCUCACACAUUGUCUCAUACUGGCAGCUAAGGGGUGAGGGUAAGAAAAAAUAUAAAAUAUUACCAUUCUGACACUGGGCACCGAAGAAUCCAUGUGGACAGAGGCAAACAUCUGGCUUAGUACAGGAACCACCAUUGAGACACACAGGAUCACACAUUGCUGCAGAAAUAGGGUCAGGAAGAGUGGGAAGCAUGACAUCCAAAUAAAGUAUAUAAAAAUAUGUGUGUGUGUUGCAAGGACCGGAACUAGACACCUAAGAUAACUGCAGGUAACACCAUUCCCACAGAAUCUUCACCAAAAUUAAAGGAUCAGUAUAAGACUUCCAAGAGGUGCUGCUGGCAGCAAAACUACAUGCAGAGUCAUGAGGGAGUGCUGGAGCUCUGCUGCAGUAAGCAGCUGCCCAUCUCUGCUCUCUGAGCCACACAGUUCCAGAUUUCAAACUAUGGGAGGUCCCAUGGACGCUCUCUUUGGAACAUGGAAGUUGCAGGAGUGUUACCUGUACUGCAUGUAGGUCCGUACCACCCAGGUUUACACUGGCAGAUGUCUGGAGUGAGACAUUCACCACCAUUUUCACAAUGUCUGUUGCAAACCACUAGAAUCCAAAAUGUUGGGCAAAAACAAAGGAGAAGGCGGGGGAGGAGAUCGGGGUGAAGAGAGAGAAAGAGAUAUGUUACAAAUUAUGCUUGAUUAAUAUUACAGUUCUUUCCUACAUAUCAACACUGGAAAUAACAUACAAUUCCACUAGCUGAAGAGGAAUUGCUGAACAGAUUAAUCCAGUCUCAAACCCAUAAUAGCUAGCACCAGACAACAAAGUAAAUAAAAUGUCUUUCCAUGCAAUUAUCCAUGGUUUGGUUAUAUUCAGUGUUAAAAACCAAGAAAAUUUCAAAAAAAUUCUAAAACAAAUGGGAAAUGCUAUACUAAGAGACAAGUGGACCAUGUAACAUGAUGAGUUUGAUGGACUCCACGAAAGUUCAGUCAAUUGUCUUCCAUCACUUUAGCAAGGGCUCGUAGUGACACGAGACUAACAAGCAAAGACAUUUAAGUAUCAUGGAAAACCAUGAAUCAGUUCUUCAAGACUAGAUCUCAUUCUCUUUAGUACUCCUUAACAAAGAACAGCUUUUUUUUUUUUUUUUAGUGUCACAAAUGAGACUAGAACAAGAAAAACUGAGUCCAAAAGUGCUGGGAUUUGAGGAGGAGACAAAGAACUUUCUCAAUUCCAGGUUAAUAAAGUAGUACAUUCAAGUGAAUUAUAUAUAAACAGCAUGUCUAAAUUUGGACUCUCUGAAUGAUAAAAAUUACCAGGAUGAAAUCUAGCCAAACUUUAAUAGUCCAUUAUGUUUUAAAGUUAUAUGCAAAUAUUAUCUAAUGUUCAAAAAGCCCAAGUAUGGGCUCCUUCAAAGAGGCAGAGGUAUUAUGUCAUUUGCUAGCAUUAAACAGAGUGCAUAAAAAUUUAAACCAUAAUUUACUUUCUUGCUCCUGAACAACAGAAGCAAAUGUUCUGUAUUUUUCCCUCAUGUUCUUUUGCUUACUUGUAUCACAUCUUGGUCCCACAAAGCCAUAUGGGCAGGUGCAGAGAUUUCUGGCCAAACAUGUGCCUCCAUUUUGACAGGGUGGUUUACAAUGUGCUGCAGGUACAGAAUUAUGUUGUUCAAGAAAUCAGCUCCACAAAGAUGCAUGGAUUGGUCAUGCUUUAUAGAAAAGGAAAUGUUAAUAACUGACAGUGAGCAAAGAACUGGAAAUAAAAUAAGGAGACAUAUGCAAUGCCUUUUGACAAGAAUAACAACAAGAAUUUCAUUCCAAGAGUACACAGUCUCAACAGUGGUGGCCACCCUGAAAAAAAGAAACCUGCCACAAUUUCCAGAGAGUAUUUCUCACUCUUCAGGACUGUUUAGCUUAGGGGCAAUUACAUUCACUGGUGAAGUCCUCUACUUAUAGCAAAAGCUAAAUUUAGGAAUAUCCAAUCACAAGCAACAUUUACAAUGUAUAUCAAGAAAAUUAGGAUAUACAUUGUGUUACUUAAGGGUUCUGUUAAAGUAAAAGUAAAAUGAGCACACCUCUUUGCUGUCAGAAUGAACAGUCAUGGAAGUUGUUCACAGCAUCCUUUGGGUAUUUAUGUAUUCAAAAGCAAAAAAUACUCUAUUUACCUUCCUCACAAGUGGAGCCACUGUAUCCUGGUAGACAUUCACAGACAUUUGGCUUAAUGCACUUCCCAUGGUUUUUGCAAUCAGGUCUGCACAGAGCUGUGUGAAAAAAUCAAUAUCACUCUUCAAAUCAUUAAUUUGUGCAUAUGAGUUACCACAGGCAAAAUCAAAAUACCAUACUCACCAGCCUGACAGUUAAAACCAGCAUAACCAGGCUUGCAUUUACAAAUAUUGGGUGCCACACACUCCAUAUUUUUGCCACAUGUUUGUCUACAUCUUGCUGAAAGGCAAUGAAGAAAACAAAGGGAAUAAGGAAAAUAAAAGUCGCAUUUCACACAACUGUGCUUUGCCUAACAUAAUGCACAAAUCACAGAGAAUCCAUUAUGCCACUGUCUGUAAAUGGGAGUCUAAGACACAUCAGGAAAAUAUUUUUAGGUGCAUCCAUACAACUAAAAGCCUGUAGGCUAUGCCAAUAUUAAUAAUGAAAGUGAGAAAAUUCAAUACACCGUGCUUUUCACUGAUUAUACAGUAACAAUGUACUUUCAAGUUAUAAAGACAUCUCAAUAUUAUUUUUUUCCAGGCAUUUAAGUUCAGUUAUUUGUAAUACCUCUGCAAGUGAAGCCAUCUCCAUAAUAACCAUUAGGACAACGACCACACCUGAUGCUUCCAUCCUGACUUGGCUCACAGUGUACACCAGGAAAACAGGGUGAUACAGCAAGGCUCCCUGAAGAUGCAGUCAUCACAGUAUGUACUGAAGAACUCACUUCCAUGUCAGCAAGGUGACCACUGAUGGUCCUGAGAGUGUGAGCAAUGUUUCCAGUAACAGCAGAUUAUCUGGGCAUGGACCACAAUAGUAAGAACCAAAAGUAUUGAAGCAAAAUACUCCAGGGAAGCAAGGACUGGAUACACAUUCAUCUACAUCCUCUUCACAGUGUUUACCUGCAUUAAAAUACAGAUUUAAUUUUUUCUAUAAUAUUGUGUCACUAGACUUUGAUGGCAUAUUUAUAAAAGUACAAUGUAUGCCAGUGCUGAAAUAGAGAAAAAAAUAUCUAUCAUUUCAGUACAGCUAAUAAGAACAGCUGACUGGGUUUGCAAUUCACAUUUUUUCAUCUUAUAUUAAGUAUCUUGCUUAUUGCAGAAUAUGGAGAAAAUGAGCUGUGGGAACUACAUGUUUAUCUGCAGGAGAAAUCACAGUGUAACCAAACUCAUCACUCCUAUGUUUCUCCAUAUUGCUGAGUUUACCUCUGUGGAGAAAAACAGUGGAAAUUUGCUUUCAUAGUAAACUAAAAUAAACAACCAUUGUAUUCAUGCAAGAAAAAUCUUGAAGUAUACCAUAUAUCUUUAUCACCAGAACAGAAAAUUUCUUCAUAAUCUAACAGUAAGCUAUUUACGGACAAAAAUUAAAAAAUACAAUUUCAGACAUAUAAUUAGAAAUUCCUAUUUAUCACUGAACGUGAUAAAUGUGUGUAAAUAAAGUAGCAAUUUACCUUGAAGUUCAGGUGGACAUUCACAGUAAUAGCUGUUUAUUCCAUCCACACAUCUGCCAAUACCACACUGGUUAAGUCUACAGUCAUCAGUAUUCCCUUCACAGAGAUCACCUUCAAAUCCAGCCACACACACACAAAGAUAUCUUCCACUUCCAGGUGGGAAAUUAAUGUUUGUCACACAUGAGCCAUUAUUUAGGCAAUCACAUGAUUUUACACUGACCUACAAGACAUGCCCAAUAAGACAGUUUUCUAUUUUUUUUAAUGAACUAGCAAUGAGUUCUGUAAUUAGAUAUCUUAAAUAUCUUAUUAGUAGGUGUCAUUUUAUUGUAAUAUUCAUUACCUCUAUUUCUACCUUAGUUGUUGCAUUGCAGUCAUCUGUCAAAGAAAAUGUUAAUUUAUGGAGAUUUGUUGACACAGCUUUCCACAAAAGGAGACCUGAUGGGGAAAGACUGGCACCUUCUGGACCAGAAUCCAAUGUGAAAUGAAUAGCAGAGCCCUCUGGAUCUGAAGCCAAAAACUGAUAUACAAAAUCUUCUCCAUAAAAAGUCUGUAGCAUAACCUGAGAAGUUUCAAGGACUGGAGGCUGAUUGCCUGUAACAAAGAAGAUGUUUUCAUCUUUUAAGCAAAAGUUACAGUAUACCUUAAAAAAUUUAAAGGAUAAUAUCUUUCUAUUAAGGAGGUCACAUUGAAUUUUUUCUCUUAAAUUCUAAUGCCAUUGGUAUGGCACAGAAAAAACACUUGAUAUUUUCAUUUUAACUAUAGCAACAUAACCAAGAAAUUACUUUUACUUUGCAAGAGCUUGUAAUGCACUGCAUCUAUACAUCAAAAAAAAAUUUAUUGAAUUUAACCACUAUAUUUUAACUAUAUGACUAUAAGAUGGAAAUCCCUUGACUUCCUGACUGCUGGAUGAGUUUCAUUUCAUUCCUUUCAUUCAGGUUUCACUCUUUUGAAAUAGAUAUAGCUACGUUGGCUUUCAGUACAAGUUUGAAUGAGGACAAGAUUCACCAACACAGGCACCAGGAGUCCCAUUCACACAAGACCCUUUCCAAUCCAGGCAGAGUCUUGCCAGAACAUUCAUACACAUAAACACCAAUGCAAAAUACAAAAUCUGAGCCAAAAGAAGAAUUUCUAGUCUAGAACUUUAUACUAUGGAAAAGGAAAAGGAAAAUCUUAGGUCUUCUUUACAUAGUGUGGUUUCUAAAUGGACUUAAGUAUGAAAACUUUGGAUAUACUUUCAAAUAUUUAGGCCAUGUAUCUAUGCCAUUGAUGUAGAUGAUGUCCAAAUAUUAAGGGCCUAAUAAAUAUCACAUGUCAUUUAAUUCAGUUUGUGAUCUCCA